UUAGAAUUGGGCUUCGACUUCUUCUAGAAAGUUGUUCGAAAUGUUGAGAGGAAGAUUCUGUCAAAUUUUGGUGGUGAUUGGAGGUGGCCGAAAGUUUCUGCAGUUUUUUUUUCUAAAAAGCAGUAAUUUUAGCCAACGACAUUUAAAUACUUUAGCCGAAGAUAUUCGUCGGCUAUAGUAUUUUUUAAUUUUUUUUUUUUUAUAAGGUUUAGCUGACGAAUUAUGGCAUGUUUCGUCGGCUAAACACUUCUAAAGCCAACGAAACAGACUAUAUUUCGUCGGCUAUUGUUAUUUUUUAAUUUUUUAUUACAUACUUUAGCCGACGAAUAUCGUUGGCUAAAGUCUCUGAUUAUAGUUGAUGAAACAUUUAAGAUAUUCGUCGGCUAUUGUCCCAGAUAAUAGCCGAUGAUGUCUUCUAGUGUCGUCGGCUAAAGUCAUCGCCGACGACCCUUUCCCGACGAAACCAUAGGCGACGAAGGCUCGUCGGCUAAGAUCUUAGCCGACGAAUUUAGCUAACAAGCCGACGAAACUUUUUCUUCAGCUAAAGUGCUUGUCCUGGUAGUGAUUGUUCAAAGAUUGUGUACGUAUCUUCUCUUCAUUAACAUGAAAAAUGAGAGAAGGAAGCUAUGUAUGGAAGCAUUUAUGGAUGGAGACUUUAGCUAUCAAGCUUGAGAAGUUUGAAAGAUGGAGAGUCAUUUUCACAUGGAGAUGAAGUUGAAUGAAGAUCAUUGUUGCCCUAUAAAUAGAUAUUGCUUCAAGUGAAUAAGGGAGGAGGAAGAGAGUGGAGAAUUAGAGACACUUUGUUGCUCUUUGUUCUUCCCUUUCUUUAGAUACUUUUUGUAUAAUGUUUUUUAUUUGUUUAAGCAUGUUUUCAAUUUGUACUAUGUCUUGCUAAUUUCCUUAACUAAGGUUAAGGAGGAAACCACAUUAUGAAAUAAGUUUCUUUUAAUUAUCUACAAUUCCCAUAGCUAUGACUCUUACUUCAAAAUGCAUUAAUAAAAUCUUUGUUCCUU
rnacentral:lncRNA from 1 species